rnacentral:rRNA from 1 species
CUGGCGGCGUGCUAAUACAUGCAAGUCGAACGAACUCUGGUAUUGAUUGGUGCUUGCAUCAUGAUUUACAUUUGAGUGAGUGGCGAACUGGUGAGUAACACGUGGGAAACCUGCCCAGAAGCGGGGGAUAACACCUGGAAACAGAUGCUAAUACCGCAUAACAACUUGGACCGCAUGGUCCGAGCUUGAAAGAUGGCUUCGGCUAUCACUUUUGGAUGGUCCCGCGGCGUAUUAGCUAGAUGGUGGGGUAACGGCUCACCAUGGCAAUGAUACGUAGCCGACCUGAGAGGGUAAUCGGCCACAUUGGGACUGAGACACGGCCCAAACUCCUACGGGAGGCAGCAGUAGGGAAUCUUCCACAAUGGACGAAAGUCUGAUGGAGCAACGCCGCGUGAGUGAAGAAGGGUUUCGGCUCGUAAAACUCUGUUGUUAAAGAAGAACAUAUCUGAGAGUAACUGUUCAGGUAUUGACGGUAUUUAACCAGAAAGCCACGGCUAACUACGUGCCAGCAGCCGCGGUAAUACGUAGGUGGCAAGCGUUGUCCGGAUUUAUUGGGCGUAAAGCGAGCGCAGGCGGUUUUUUAAGUCUGAUGUGAAAGCCUUCGGCUCAACCGAAGAAGUGCAUCGGAAACUGGGAAACUUGAGUGCAGAAGAGGACAGUGGAACUCCAUGUGUAGCGGUGAAAUGCGUAGAUAUAUGGAAGAACACCAGUGGCGAAGGCGGCUGUCUGGUCUGUAACUGACGCUGAGGCUCGAAAGUAUGGGUAGCAAACAGGAUUAGAUACCCUGGUAGUCCAUACCGUAAACGAUGAAUGCUAAGUGUUGGAGGGUUUCCGCCCUUCAGUGCUGCAGCUAACGCAUUAAGCAUUCCGCCUGGGGAGUACGGCCGCAAGGCUGAAACUCAAAGGAAUUGACGGGGGCCCGCACAAGCGGUGGAGCAUGUGGUUUAAUUCGAAGCUACGCGAAGAACCUUACCAGGUCUUGACAUACUAUGCAAAUCUAAGAGAUUAGACGUUCCCUUCGGGGACAUGGAUACAGGUGGUGCAUGGUUGUCGUCAGCUCGUGUCGUGAGAUGUUGGGUUAAGUCCCGCAACGAGCGCAACCCUUAUUAUCAGUUGCCAGCAUUAAGUUGGGCACUCUGGUGAGACUGCCGGUGACAAACCGGAGGAAGGUGGGGAUGACGUCAAAUCAUCAUGCCCCUUAUGACCUGGGCUACACACGUGCUACAAUGGAUGGUACAACGAGUUGCGAACUCGCGAGAGUAAGCUAAUCUCUUAAAGCCAUUCUCAGUUCGGAUUGUAGGCUGCAACUCGCCUACAUGAAGUCGGAAUCGCUAGUAAUCGCGGAUCAGCAUGCCGCGGUGAAUACGUUCCCGGGCCUUGUACACACCGCCCGUCACACCAUGAGAGUUUGUAACACCCAAAGUCGGUGGGGUAACCUUUUAGGAACCAGCCGC